GAAAUGCGAUAAGUAGUGUGAAUUGCAGAAUUCAGUGAAUCAUCGAAUCUUUGAACGCAUCUUGCGCUCCUUGGUAUUCCUUGGAGCAUGCCUGUUUGAGUAUCAUGAAAUCUUCAAAGUAAAUCUUUUGUUAACUCAAUUGGUUUCUACUUUGGUAUUGGAGGUCUUUGCAGCUUCACACCUGCUCCUCUUUGUUCAUUAGCUGGAUCUCAGUGUUAUGCUUGGUUCCACUCGGCGUGAUAAGUUAUCUAUCGCUGAGGACACUGUAAAAGGUGGCCAAGGUAAAUGCAGAUGAACCGCUUCUAAUAGUCCAUUGACUUGGACAAUACUUUUAUGAUCUGAUCUCAAAUCAGGUAGGACUACCCGCUGAACUUAAGC
rnacentral:misc_RNA from 1 species